CUGUGUUACGGCGGUUCGUACCGAGUUCAGUGAAGAUCCUCUGGAAACAACAUAUGUUCUAUUCUUCAAAGGCCUCGGUGGGAACCAGCCAGGCAACAUAUCGUUUCACAUCAAGCCUGGGCGAACACCCGAC
rnacentral:lncRNA from 1 species